rnacentral:rRNA from 1 species
AAUCAACGCUGGCGGCGUGCCUAACACAUGCAAGUCGAACGCGAAAGCCUCGCAAGGGGCAAGUAGAGUGGCAAACGGGUGAGUAACACGUGGGUGACCUGCCUUCGAGUGGGGGAUAACGUCCCGAAAGGGACGCUAAUACCGCAUAACAUGCUGCCGUUUAAGAGGUGGACAGCAAAGCUGGGGAUCGCAAGACCUGGCGCUUGAAGAGGGGCCCGCGUCCGAUUAGCUAGNGGUGGGGUAAUGGCUCACCAAGGCCACGAUCGGUAGCCGGCCUGAGAGGGCGGACGGCCACACUGGGACUGAGACACGGCCCAGACUCCUACGGGAGGCAGCAGUGGGGAAUUGUUCGCAAUGGGCGCAAGCCUGACGACGCAACGCCGCGUGGAGGAUGAAGACCU